GCUUACUUGGUGUGAAUUGCAGAAUCCCGUGAACCAUCGAGUCUUUGAACGCAAGUUGCGCCCCAAGCCUUAGGGCCGAGGGCACGUCUGCCUGGGUGUCACGUAUCGUAGCCC
rnacentral:rRNA from 1 species